rnacentral:rRNA from 1 species
GACAGAGGGUGCAAACGUUGUUCGGAAUUACUGGGCGUAAAGCGCGUGUAGGCGGCCCUGCAAGUCGGGUGUGAAAUCCCACGGCUCAACCGUGGAAGUGCACUCGAAACUGCAGGGCUAGAGUCCUGGAGAGGAAGGUGGAAUGCUUGGUGUAGAGGUGAAAUUCGUAGAUAUCAAGCGGAACACCGGUGGCGAAGGCGGCCCGCUGGGGCAGUAACUGACGCUGAGGAGCGAAAGCGUGGGGAGCGAACAGG